UUACCGAGUUUUCGGGCUUCGGCUCGACUCUCCACCCUUUGUGAACGUACCUCUGUUGCUUUGGCGGCUCCGGCCGCCAAAGGACCUCCAAACUCCAGUCAGUAAACGCAGACGUCUGAUAAACAAGUUAAUAAACUAAAACUUUCAACAACGGAUCUCUUGGUUCUGGCAUCGAUGAAGAACGCAGCGAAAUGCGAUAAGUAAUGUGAAUUGCAGAAUUCAGUGAAUCAUCGAAUCUUUGAACGCACAUUGCGCCCCUUGGUAUUCCGGGGGGCAUGCCUGUUCGAGCGUCAUUACAACCCUCAAGCUCUGCUUGGAAUUGGGCACCGUCCUCACUGCGGACGCGCCUCAAAGACCUCGGCGGUGGCUGUUCAGCCCUCAAGCGUAGUAGAAUACACCUCGCUUUGGAGUGGUUGGCGUCGCCCGCCGGACGAACCUUCUGAACUUUUCUCAAGUUGACCUCGGAUCAGGUAGGAUUACCCG
rnacentral:rRNA from 1 species